GGGGCCAUAGCUCAGCUGGGAGAGCGCAACACUGGCAGUGUUGAGGUCAGGGGUUCGAGCCCCCUUGGCUCCACCA
rnacentral:tRNA from 2 species